AUUGGGGCGCCUGGGUUUUGUCCUCUUCGUGUGAGGACAUUUAGCUGUGGAGGCUGAGGCUUGUUUUAGACAGAAAUGCCAAUCUCCAUCUACUUCACCUCCGCUCACGUGUGGAGACAGCCGGGCCACUGCUAAAGAGACAAUCAAGGUCACAUGCAGGAGUUACGCAAGCCAAUGCAGGAGGAUCCAUCCAGCCCGAGAACUGACAGACCUUCCUAACUACAAAUCUUGAAGGACGAGGAGAGCAGGGAGAGGAGAUGCUCUCUGGAUCCACCCAGCCCGAAGGCUCAGGAUUCAAUGACAGGCAGGGAGUCAACGCAAAGGUCCUCUGACGGGCGAUUCAUGUGCAUCAUCUGUAAUUACUGAGUCAGCUUCAAGACUUUACAGCCAUCAACACACUCAUGACAGACCAGAAACCCGGUUCAAGUUCAGGAAGUUGCCUGUAACCCUCUUGCAUGGGAACUAGGAUGAACUCAAGCCUGUCUGGCCCCAAGUACGAGACACACCUCUUUCUUAAGCUGCUAAUACUUUAAUCAGAAGGUGAAAAAUAGGCAGAAGUUGAAAACAAUUGUUUUGGGAGAUCCUCGGGAAACAAUCCCCCAGUGGGGCCCGAAACCCUCUGCAUCGUGCAAUGAUUUCUUCUUUCCUUCUUGUGUGAACAGAUUAAACUAAUAGAUUAUGAGCAUUAUUCUUAAGCAACGUAUAUCAGGGUUGAUGGGAGCCUGUUCUUGAAAGAUAAGCUGCAUAUCGGCACUGAGGGAAAAUGAAUUAAAAUGCAAAUCUGAGUGUGCCCCCACUGCGAGGCUAUCUUUAAUAGAUAUGUCUCCCGGAAUAUAUCACAGACCAAACUGUCAGCUUGCAUCCCAAAUAGAGCAAAACCAGGCUCUAAUGGCAUUUCACUGAGGGUAAAGUUUAUAAUUGGAUUUUGCCAUAGGUGGGGUUUAUAAGUGACCUUGAGCCGGACCCAUAAUCUCUGACACAUGGGGAAAAAUAAAUUAGACACCACCCUCCCCUCCCGGCCUCCUUCCCGGAGCCCUGGCUUCACUGAGCACCCAAAGCCUCCCUGCAGACGUGGGGCACCUGCAUCUUUUGCUCCCCACUCCUAAGGGAGUGAUGUGCACCCUGAGGCCCCAGGGUGGUGCCCCAGGCAGACACAGGCUGUGGUUCCACCAGAGCUGGCGCUGCUUGGGCACUGCCCUCAGGGGGACUAAAGGACAGGCGGAAGGCUCUGCGCGGCUGUGCAUCGGGACACGCCCACUCACCAUGCUCAAGUGUCCUGCUGCCCCAGGCAGGGAGACGGGCGGCGGCUGAGAGUUGGCAGGGCCCCAGACAAGUAGUGAUGCCACAUCUUAGUAAGCAAAAAAUAGAAGGGACAGCGGAGAAAAUGCCAGAAGCCUGCAAGGAGAGACGACAGCGACUGCAGCAGCAGCGCCCCCCGCAGUGUGCCGCAGGCAUGAAGGGAAGGGAGCCGGCGGAGAAGUCCAGAGGAGGGACGGCAGGGCCUGCCCCGAGAGCAGGUGCCUCGGAGGUUGUCCUCAUCAUGUGAUUGGGUCAUGCAACAAAAAGCUGACUCCCACAAGGUCAUCCUUGUCACCCCCAGAAGACAGCCUACCAGAGAAUAAAACCACCGUACAAAAAGAGAUCAGAGAUAAGUGGUGCAAACAGGAGAACAGACGGGAAGAGACCGAGGGAGGAAGGACCGCGGUGACCCCGAGCCCUGGCUCCAGCCACCCUGAGGGAGAGGGACCCACGGAUCUUGCCGUGAGAUCCUUCAAUAAAAAAUUCGCUUUUGGGAGACGACAGUCUCAUCAUGGAAUUUUGCAUCAUACAGAAGUAAAAAUUUCAAACACAUCUGCCGGUCGCCUUGUAGUGAGCGGCACGGAGUGUGUCCACGUGCAGUCAAGACAUUCUAAGGUGGAAAUUCAAAGAGGAACUCUGUGGAAAUGUCACCUCUGCCUCACGUUGCAAUUCCGGGAAGUUCUUUUCCUCAGAAGAGACACAGAUAUGCAAAGAACAGUCCCAGAAUCUUGGGAGAGAAUUUCAGAACUCUACUUCACCGACCAUCAUCGACAGCAUUACCAGGCUUAUGACAUGAAGAGAAUAAUCCAGAGAUCAGCACUGAGUGCAAUUUGAAGGUUAGUAAGCAUCGGGGUGAUUCUGAUCCACUGGCACACUGUCACACAGCCAGCUCCCUCUGUGUUCGCCGUCCUUGGACGAUGAUGCAUAUCAAAGAAUCUUCAGUCACAGAACUUUGAGUAUCAACAGGAGGUGACAGUUGUCACUUCUCACUUCCUCCCUCAACUGGCACCUUUGCGAUGACUCCCUUGCAUUUAAUGAAGGCUUAGGCAAAAACACUCCCAUAGGCACGGGCCACCUUAUAAAUGCUGCUGAUUUAGGUUAAAAUGUCAGAUUGGCCCGAUGCUGUUACAUAUUGGUGGCUGUGAAAUUUAUUUAAGACUAUGCUCUAAUGAAAAGUUUCAGAUGAAACAUUAAUAACCAAUAAAUUCUCUUCCAUCUUGAGGUCAAGAUACCAAGAGAUUUCUCGAACAUCCAAUGUUUGUGUGGAAACCCGAAUGCCAAAGAACAAGAAAUCAACAUUCAAAAUUAACUAAAAUAAGAAAGAAAAACAUAAAAGCCUGUGAUUUAUCUGAUUUGUCCACCCCUGAAGCCUUCGGCUGCAAUGGUGCUUCCUGUAAUUCAGGAUACGACCACGACAAAAUCACCAUCGUCUAUGUUCAGCGGGACUCCCUCGCGCUUGAUGAAAUGGCUAGAGGAAAUUGGUCUUGGUGUGCUACCAAAGCUGUUUAGAACAUUUGUCAGAAAUAUACAACUACUUGACGUGUA